rnacentral:antisense_RNA from 1 species
GGAAUUGGGGGUUACUAUCUUGGAAUCUGGGGGCACUCCAGGCUCUGGGCUCAGACGGCUGACUUCUGCCUACCCGAGCCUUAACCUUUCAAAGACCCGAAGGAUUCCAGAGCUCUUGCCCUAGGUCCUGGGGCAGCGAUGACUCACUGCAGCACCCCCUCCCACUUCGCCAAGCUGCCGUCUCCGCCCACCCCCAAACAAUCUCUACAGCGCAUUUCGGGAGCCACGGCUCCGGGCGCUUUGCUGGGGGCUAAAGGGGUUUAUCCCUUUCCUUGAAUCCCAGCAGGCUAGAACUACCCCCUCCCAGGCUUCAGGCUUGCCACGCUCUCCACCCGAUCCUUCCAUCGAAAGGCAGAAAAGGAAGGAUGUGCUUGGGAACUUUAAGACCCACGAACGACAGCGCACUGAUGGAGCAGCCCAGUGUCCGGGGCAACGUCCUCCAGGUUCAUUCAUUCAGGAAGCCUCUGUCCAGCCUUUACCAUGCGCUGAGUGAGAAGCUGAGGAUAAGGAAAGAUCAAGACCCCCAAGAAACCCUGAUGUCUGGCUGAAAGCCGAAGCAUGACACAACUUUGCUAUAUUUCUCUCCAACAAGGAUUUGUAUAUUUUCACUUUCUCCUCAAGUAACACCUGGACCUGCUCCUUUCCCUUCAAAUGCUGAGGGCUCAGUCUCCAAGUUCCUUUGUGAAACAGGGUGUACCAUCAGAGACGCAGGUAAGAAACCUGAACUGCAUGGCCUUACAUAAACCCCACCACACCUCUGUCCUGGGCUCCUUCCCUGCAACAGGUGUGAAGACAAAAGGCUCAUUGUCCUUUGGAGCCUAUAGGAUAAACAGAAAGAACAUGUCCUUGCUGGUUAAUCUGCCGGUGAUAAAGAGUAUUGUUUUAUCUCCUGCCAUCUCCAUGUUCCAAGAGAUGAAUUCUAUUGUGACACAAAGUCUGCUUUGUCCUUCCAACCCACUGAGAUGUUUAAAUUGGCCUUUCGUAUAUUCCUUGGUUGUCACAAUCAGAGCAAUGAGUUGUUAUAAUGUGUUGAGAGGAUCUUUCCCCCAUGACAAGGAGACCAUCAUCUACAGAGAUGCUAUGAUGCUGAGAAAUAAUGAGCUUCUUUUCUGCUCUAAUUUUUUUUAAUUAAGACUUUUAUUUUUUGAGCAAUUAUAGGUUUAGAGAAAAAUCGAAGGGGAAGUACAGAGCAUUCCCAUCUUCUCUCUCACCGCUUUCAUCUCUGUUUCCAUACAUUUGCUACAAUUGAUGAGCCAACAGCCAUAUGUUAUUAACUAAAGUUCACAGUUUACGUUAGGGUUCACUCUUUGCUUGUACAUUCUAUGGGUUUUGUCAAAUAUAUGAUAACCUGUAUUCUCCAUUAUAGUACAAUACAGAAGAAUCUCAUUGCCCUAAAUAUCUCCUGUGUUCCCCCUGUGCAUCCCUCCCUCCCACCCCCUGGGGAAAAACUGAUCUUUUUACUGUCUCCUGUUUUGCCCUUUUCAGAAUGUGAGGUAGUUGGGAGUCAUACAGCAUAUAUAUAUAUAUAUAUAUAUAAAAAAUAGCCUUUUUAGAUGGAUGUCUUUCACAUAGCAAUAUGCAUUGAACUUUCCUCCAUGACUUUGUGUGGCUCAAUAGUUCAUUUCUUUUUGUUGCUGAAUAGCUUCUGCUUAAUUUUCAAAGUGUUUAAUGUAAGAAAGCGGUAUAGUCCAGGUGCAGUGGCUCAACACCUGUAGUCCCAGCACUCUGGGAGGCGGAGGCGGUGGAUCACUUGAGCCCAGGAGUUUGAGACCAGCUUGGGUAACACGGUAAAACCCUGUCUCCAUAAAAAAUACAAAAAUUAGCUGGAAAUGGUAGUGUGCGCCUGUAGUCCCAGCUACUCAGGAGGCUGCAGUGGGAGGAUUGCUUAAGUCCAGGAGCUAGAGCCUGUAGUGAGCCAUGAUUGUGCCACUGCACUCCAGCCUGGGUGACAGAGUGAGAUCCUGUCUCAGGAAAAAAAAAAAAAAAAAAAAAAACCACCACCAACAACAACAAAAUGGCAGUAUAGUUGUCCCCACCCUCAUCUCUUCCUUUAUGGGUAUUUCCCUAAUUAUGAGAGAUUACCUGUGUUUUAAAAGGUGGCUUACUGUACGCAUUGAGAGAAUUAAAUGACAUUUCAGACCAGUUCCAAGUACCUUUUGCAAAGCUAGAGAAAUAAAAGUGAAUUAUAGUAUCUCAAUCAUAGCGUAAAACUAGAGAAGGUCUGUUUGGGCUUCAGGCAACAUUGGUGUUCUUGGCAAUUUUACCCAGAAGAAUUUAUAUUCCUAUAAUUAGUGUUUCCUCCAAAAUUAAUGAUCACCUGAUUGAUUUAUUUCUUUCCUAGCAGCACUGGAGGUCCCACUUACCUAGUUAGUAAUAACAUUUGCUCUUAAUACAUGAGUCAAACAGUUUUCUUUUUUCCUUUUUUUUUUUUUUACAUUUCCAAAACAGAAUACCCUGCAGGAAGAAUGGGAUGGCAGUGAAGGAGCUCUCACUCACGUAUCGUGUAAUGUGGGAGGCAGGGAUAUGAGAUAGUCAUAAAGGGUGCAGGCUUCAGAACCAAAUGAGUGUGGUUGGUGUUCCUGCUUACAUCCUACUAGCUGAGUGUCCUUCAGGUCAUUUCUCCUCUCUCAGACUGAGUGGACUGUUUCCUAAAGCACAGCUCAUAACAGGCUGUAAUAGUAAGACUGUUGGGAAGAUGGAAGGAGAUCAGUCAUCCCUAGAGAGCAUUAAGCACAGUCUCAGCCACAAAACACUUCCUCAAACACGAUGCAAGCCACAAAGGGCAUUUAGCCUGCGUAAAAAGGACAUACUGAGGACAGUGUAGAUGCUCACUAAAUUAGUCCUGACUGAUCAAGAGGGGAAAGAGAGGGUUAAUCUUAUCAUAUGUGGGCUCUCAGAGAACACAGAGCUAUAGAAGGAAGCUGACUUAAGGGUCAAGCAUGAUGGGGGAGAUUAGGAACUGUGUGCAAUCUAACGGAACCACAGAUAGCACUUCUAGUACUUUUUCCUUUUGGCCCUGCCCCUGCUGAGACAGGGCCACUGCUAAUAACUCACAUUCUUCUCUUCUCUCCUCUCAAAAAGCCCAUUUCCUGAGCGAGUAUAUGCUUUGGUAAGGUCAUUAGUGGUCAACAUGGUUCCCAAGUUUAGUGAAUACUUUCAGAUAAAACUGAAGGGUACAAAAUCACUCUUUCCUCUCUCCCUCUCCUUAUCCUACCUCUCACAAUAAAAUGACUUAUCUACUAAUUACAAAGACCUCAAUAGUGGAAGAAAUCCAUAUCCUACAUAACAUGGAGAGCUAGCUAUGUACCCUUGGCAUCACUUUUUAUCCUACUUUUACUUUUUACUGACUUUCAUUUACUGAACAAAGCCUCCUUUGCCAAAGGCAAGGUAAAUAAACUCAGUCACAUCCUGUCUUCCUUACAUCUUUGUUUAUCCACAAACCGUCGAAUAUACAGAUGAAAAUCCACUAAAGCAUGCUUGAAGCAGUUACACGAAGGCCAAAUAAGAUGGGAAUGGAAAUGCCUGAUGUUAAGGGAAGAUACUACCUAAAAUGAUACUGAGCUGGCCCGUGUAAUGACAUGAAAACAAAAAAAAAAACA